GGCAUCACGGAUAAUAACAAUGAAAUAUUGAUCAUCAAUGAUCACGUACACAAUAUGGUGGCUGUCUGUGCUGGAGACACGGGGUUGAAGACAACGUCGCCAAGACUUUUAGGCACAAAUCUACAUCUUUAUACUACUUAAGUAUUUACAUGAAAGAUCCUAAAGCAUUAAAAGUCUAAGAUCCUCAUAACGUCGAGAGAGAGAGAGAGAGAGAGAGAGAGAGAGAGAGAGAGAUGACUAUAGCAGAAGAUGACAGCAAACAUACUGCAGAAGGCGACGCCCCCAAGUAUCUCUUCAUCUCCUGCGGUCGACUCUUAAGCAGCAAUACCUGUCGGCAACAGACUAGUGCUGCAAGAAACUAAGCUAUGGAGAGUAGUAAUAACAGAUGGAAAUGAGCAGUAAGAUAAAGCUUAGGAGAAUAUAUAGCAGCCAGAGUAGUUGCACUCAAGCAAGAGAAUAACAUACAAACUACAUAUUAAAAUUAUAAUUAUAUAUAUAUAGUUUUAAAUUGGUAAUUCCUCAUAUUUGUCUUUCUCUUUAAUUCUAUCAACAUUUAUGGCAUUUAUGUUUUUUCUUAUUUCUCAUAUUUACAUUUAUAAUUAAUUCUAUCUACAGCUACAGUGCUUAUCUUUUUCACUUGGCCAAAAUGUGGAGUAAAUAAAUGUACUCAGAAAUGUAAAGGAAGCUUCUCUCUCUUUGCUUGACCAAGUAGACUAUCUGUAGAUGAAUCUCUAAUCAAAUAAAAAAAUAAUUCACAAUUAUUGUUUGAUAAACCGAAGUAUACAAAGUAUGAAAAUUGAAUUGUAGGAAUAACUCUAAUUUCUAAUAUCAAAACAAGGAAGUAAAGUAUGCUUUCAGACAGUCUAAUCCAUGCACAUCAUAAAGAUUGAUAUCAAGACAUCAUUAGGGUCACAUUCUGAAACUAGGCACUCAUGAUUCCACCUCAAGACACUAAACAGUCCAUAUCAGAAGCACAUAAUGGAAUUUAAGCAAGUGCAGUAUGACGAAGAUCAACUGAGAAGCAAGAAAAGAAGGCUAGGUUGUUUAGUCAACAACUUAGAUAUAAACAUUCCUAAGUUGGCCGUACUAGAACUGAGCAAAAAUAUAAAAUUUACUAGAAGUCAAAGUAGUAGAUAAUCAAAUUAUAACUCA
rnacentral:lncRNA from 1 species